GCCGGGGUGGCGCAGUAGGUAGAAGGCCUUGGCGUUUAUGCCGGCCUGCCGAACGCGCUCGGCUGUUAAAUUAAGGUACGGAUGAAGAACGAACCUCCAUAGUUCUUAACUUGACGUGCCAAAUACAGCGACCGAGCGGUCGGAGGUUCGAGUCCUCCCCCCGGCG
rfam:Candidate divison MSBL1 archaeon SCGC-AAA261F19 AAA261F19_Contig_18, whole genome shotgun sequence.